rnacentral:rRNA from 1 species
UACGUAGGGUGCGAGCGUUGUCCGGAAUUAUUGGGCGUAAAGAGCUCGUAGGCGGCUUGUCGCGUCGGAUGUGAAAGCCCGGGGCUUAACUCCGGGUCUGCAUUCGAUACGGGCAGGCUAGAGUUCGGUAGGGGAGAUCGGAAUUCCUGGUGUAGCGGUGAAAUGCGCAGAUAUCAGGAGGAACACCGGUGGCGAGGCGGAUCUCUGGGCCGAUACUGACGCUGAGGAGCGAAAGCGUGGGGAGCGAACAGG